rnacentral:rRNA from 1 species
UCCAGACUCCUACGGGAGGCAGCAGUGGGGAAUAUUGCACAAUGGGGGAAACCCUGAUGCAGCAACGCCGUGUGAGUGAAGAAGCGUUUCGGCGCGUAAAGCUCUGUCAGCGGGGAAGAAAGAAGACGGUACCCGACCAAGAAGCCCCGGCUAACUACGUGCCAGCAGCCGCGGUAAUACGUAGGGGGCGAGCGUUAUCCGGAAUUACUGGGUGUAAAGGGAGCGUAGACGGCGAAGUAAGCCUGAAGUGGAAGCCCGCGGCCCAACCGCGGAACUGCUCUUGGAACUGCGUGGCUGGAGUGCAGGAGGGGCAGGCGGAAUUCCUGGUGUAGCGGUGAAAUGCGUAGAUAUCAGGAGGAACACCGGUGGCGAAGGCGGCCUGCUGGACUGCAACUGACGUUGAGGCCCGAAAGCGUGGGGAGCAAACAGGAUUAGAUACCCUGGUAGAC